rnacentral:rRNA from 1 species
UACGGGGGGAGCAAGCGUUGUUCGGAUUUACUGGGCGUAAAGGGCGCGUAGGCGGCCUCUGCAAGUCGACUGUGGAAAUCUCCCGGGCUUAAACCCGGAAAGGUCAGCCGAUACUGGCAGGGCUAGAGUGCAGGAAGGGGCAACUGGAAUUCUCGGGUGUAGCGGUGAAAUGCGUAGAUAUCGAGAGGAACACCUGCGGCGAAGGCGGGUUGCUGGGCUGACACUGACGCUGACAGCGCGAAAGCUAGGGGAGCGAACGGG